GUCCCUUCGGGGACAUCCGAUAAAAUUUGAACGAUACAGAGAAGAUUAGCAUGGCCCCUACGCAAGGAUGGCACGCACAAAUCGAGAAAUGGUCCAAAUUUUU
rnacentral:snRNA from 1 species